GUUCCCAUUCCAGAUGAAAACAUUAAUCUGAAACAGGUCAUCUGAAGCUGAGAGGACUUGUUUUGAUUUUUUGAUGUGGGAGGAAUUAGAGGAGGUGUAGGGAGAAGGAAUUACAGCCAGGAUGAGCCUGGUUUACCUGCUUUGGCAUCUUUAACCUCCAGGCCCUGCUGCUUGCGCUCUGCUCUCCAGCUGAGGAGACUUUCUUGCAGUGAGGUAGAAUUUUGAGAGACCAACAUUUGACCAACAUUUCUUUGCAAGGGAAAGGGCAGAAGAGGCUGAAAAUCAGAAGUGAUUUUUAAUGAAGAUUACACCAAGGUUAGAGGCACA